rnacentral:rRNA from 1 species
CCUACGGGUGGCAGCAGUGAGGAAUAUUGGUCAAUGGGCGCGAGACUGAACCAGCCAAGCAGCGUGAAGGAGGACUGUACAACGGGUCGUAAACUUCUUUUAUCAGGGAACAAAGUGAGGGACGCGUGCCCGUUUGUAUGUACUUUAUGAAUAAGGAUCGGCUAACUCCGUGCCAGCAGCCGCGGUAAUACGGAGGAUCCGAGCGUUAUCCGGAUUUAUUGGGUUUAAAGGGAGCGUAGAUGGGUUGUUAAGUCAGUUGUGAAAGUGUGCGGCUCAACCGUAAAACUGCGAUUGAUACUGGCAGUCUUGAGUACAGUUGAGGUAGGCGGAAUUCGUGGUGUAGCGGUGAAAUGCUUAGAUAUCGCGAAGAACUCCGAUUGCGAAGGCAGCAUGCUAAACUCCCACUGACAUUGAUGCUCGAAAGUGUGGGUAUCAAACAGGAUUAGAUACCCUUGUAGUC